UACAGAGGUCUCAAGCGUUGUUCGGAUUCAUUGGGCGUAAAGGGCGCGUAGGCGGGCUGUCAAGUCUGGGGUGAAAUGCCGCGGCUCAACCGUGGAACUGCCUUAGAUACUGACGGCCUCGAGGGAGGUAGGGGCGUGCGGAACUGUAGGUGGAGCGGUGAAAUGCGUUGAUAUCUACAGGAACUCCGGUGGCGAAAGCGGCGCGCUGGACCUCUUCUGACGCUGAGGCGCGAAAGCUAGGGGAGCAAACGGG
rnacentral:rRNA from 1 species